rnacentral:rRNA from 1 species
GUGGGGAAUAUUGGACAAUGGGCGCAAGCCUGAUCCAGCCAUGCCGCGUGUGUGAAGAAGGCCUUUUGGUUGUAAAGCACUUUAAGCGAGGAGGAGGCUCCUUUAGUUAAUACCUAAAGAGAGUGGACGUUACUCGCAGAAUAAGCACCGGCUAACUCUGUGCCAGCAGCCGCGGUAAUACAGAGGGUGCGAGCGUUAAUCGGAUUUACUGGGCGUAAAGCGUGCGUAGGCGGCUUUUUAAGUCGGAUGUGAAAUCCCUGAGCUUAACUUAGGAAUUGCAUUCGAUACUGGAAAGCUAGAGUAUGGGAGAGGAUGGUAGAAUUCCAGGUGUAGCGGUGAAAUGCGUAGAGAUCUGGAGGAAUACCGAUGGCGAAGGCAGCCAUCUGGCCUAAUACUGACGCUGAGGUACGAAAGCAUGGGGAGCAAACAGGAUUAGAAACCCUUGUAGUCC